rnacentral:rRNA from 1 species
UACGUAGGUGGCAAGCGUUGUCCGGAUUUAUUGGGCGUAAAGCGAGCGCAGGCGGUUCCUUAAGUCUGAUGUGAAGGCCCACGGCUCAACCGUGGAAGGUCAUUGGAAACUGGGUCACUUGAAUAUAGAAGAGGAAAGUGGAAUUCCAUGUGUAGCGGUGAAAUGCGUAGAUAUAUGGAGGAACACCAGUGGCGAAGGCGACUUUCUGGUCUAUUAUUGACGCUGAGGCUCGAAAGCAUGGGUAGGCAAACAGGAUUAGAUACCCCCGUA